CAGAGUUGCAAGACUCCCUAAACCAUUGUGAACCUACCUUCUACCGUUGCUUCGGCGGGCGGGCCCAGCGCCCCCCCCGGCCCCCCGCGGGCGCCCGCCGGAGGAUACCCAAACUCUUGACAUUAGUGGCCUCUCUGAGUAUUCUUUACUGAAUAAGUC
rnacentral:misc_RNA from 1 species